AACGUAGGAGACAACCGUUAUCCGGAGUUACUGGGCGUAAAGGGCGUGUAGGUGGUUUCGUAAGUCUGGCGUGAAAUAUCUCGGCUUAACCGAGGCAGGUCGUCGGAUACUGCGGAACUAGAGGACGGUAGAGGCGUGUGGAAUUCCGGGUGUAGUGGUGAAAUGCGUAGAGAUCCGGAGGAACACCAGUGGCGAAGGCGACACGCUGGGCCGUACCUGACACUGAUGCGCGACAGCAUGGGGAGCAAACAGG
rnacentral:rRNA from 1 species